rnacentral:rRNA from 1 species
ACGUUAGCGGCGGACGGGUGAGUAACACGUGGGUAACCUACCUAUAAGACUGGGAUAACUUCGGGAAACCGGAGCUAAUACCGGAUAAUAUUUCGAACCGCAUGGUUCGAUAGUGAAAGANGGUUUUGCUAUUACUUAUAGAUGGACCUGCGCCGUAUUGGCUAGUUGGUAAGGUAACGGCUUACCAAGGCGACGAUACGUAGCCGACCUGAGAGGGUGAUCGGCCACACUGGAACUGAGACACGGUCCAGACUCCUACGGGAGGCAGCAGGA